rnacentral:rRNA from 1 species
UACGUAGGGUGCAAGCGUUGUCCGGAAUUAUUGGGCGUAAAGAGCUCGUAGGCGGUUUGUUGCGUCGGCUGUGAAAUCCCGAGGCUCAACCUCGGGUCUGCAGUCGAUACGAGCAAACUAGAGUGUUGCAGGGGAGACUGGAAUUCCUGGUGUAGCGGUGAAAUGCGCAGAUAUCAGGAGGAACACCGGUGGCGAAGGCGGUUCUCUGGGCGAUGAUCCUG